rfam:Otolemur garnettii contig133168, whole genome shotgun sequence.
ACACUCUGGUUUCUCUUCAGAUUGUAUAAAUCUUUUGCCUUUUACUAAAGAUUUCUGUGGAGAGGAACAAUUCUGAGUCUUUUUUUUUUUUUUGUAGAGACAAGAGUCUCA